rnacentral:rRNA from 1 species
GACGAACGCUGGCGGCGUGCUUAACGCAUGCAAGUCGAACGGAAAGGCCCUGCUUUUGUGGGGUGCUCGAGUGGCGAACGGGUGAGUAACACGUGAGUAACCUGCCCUUGACUUUGGGAUAACUUCAGGAAACUGGGGCUAAUACCGGAUAGGAGCUCCUGCUGCACGGUGGGGGUUGGAAAGUUUCGGCGGUGGGGGAUGGACUCGCGGCUUAUCAGCUUGUUGGUGGGGUAGUGGCUUACCAAGGCUUUGACGGGUAGCCGGCCUGGGAGGGUGACCGGCCACAUUGGGACUGAGAUACGGCCCAGACUCCUACGGGAGGCAGCAGUGGGGAAUAUUGCACAAUGGGCGGAAGCCUGAUGCAGCAACGCCGCGUGCGGGAUGACGGCCUUCGGGUUGUAAACCGCUUUCGCCUGUGACGAAGCGUGAGUGACGGUAAUGGGUAAAGAAGCACCGGCUAACUACGUG